rnacentral:misc_RNA from 1 species
GAAAUGCGAUAAGUAAUGUGAAUUGCAGAAUUCAGUGAAUCAUCGAAUCUUUGAACGCACAUUGCGCCCGCCAGUAUUCUGGCGGGCAUGCCUGUUCGAGCGUCAUUUCAACCAUCAAGCCCCCCGGCUUGUGUUGGGGACCUGCGGCUGCCCACAGGCCCUGAAAAACAGUGGCGGGCUCGCUGUCACACCGAGCGUAGUAGCAUACAUUCUCGCUCAGGGCGUGCUGCGGGUUCCGGCCGUUAAACGACCUUCAUAACCCAAGGUUGACCUCGGAUCAGGUAGGAAGACCCGCUGAACUUAAGC